rnacentral:snRNA from 1 species
AGCUUUGUGCAGUGGCAGUAUCGUAGCCAAUGAGGUUUAUCCGAGGUGCGAUUAUUGCUAAUUGAAGUUUGAUAGUG